rnacentral:rRNA from 1 species
UACGAAGGGGGCGAGCGUUGUUCGGAUUUACUGGGCGUAAAGGGCGCGCAGGCGGCUCAUUUUGUCAGGCGUGAAAGCCCCGGGCUUAACCGAGGAACUGCCCUCCAAACUGCUUGGCUUGAGACCGGGAGAGGUGAGUGGAAUUCCCAGUGUAGCGGUGAAAUGCGUAGAUAUUGGGAGGAACACCAGUGGCGAAGGCGGCUCACUGGACCGGUACUGACGCUGAUGCGCGAAAGCGUGGGGAGCAAACGGG